GACAGGAGGAGGAGUUUAGCACAGACACUAUACAGCAUGCAGCUGGGUAAAGAUGAACAUCACUCAACACUGUGUGGAGCAGCUGCUCUGUUUUGUAGUUUGUUCUUACCAGUGUAGUGAGUGAACAUGUUGAUCUAUAUUAUUAUACUGCUGUCAUCAACUGAAGGUUCCAGAGCCUCAGAAGUCAUCACUCCAAAAAGUGACAGAGAAUUUGCUCUUGAGAGUGACAAUGUGACACUCUCCUGUAACUACAGCGGUUCUGCUCGUGGUGUUCACUGGUAUCGACAAUAUGCAGGAUCACCACCACAGUUCCUCAUACUGGAAGAUUCAGGGGCAACAAUUGAAGCUAAUCCACCCAUUCCAGGAAUAACCAUCAAUCACAGAAAAAAAGAACUCCAUGUGGAUCUGAGCAUCUCCUCUGUUAACGUGUCAGGUUCAGCUCUGUACUACUGUGCUUUGCAGCCCACAGUGACAGGAAACGCUAUAAGAUUUUACAAAAACAGUUUUCAUAUGCUUAUCAAGCCUUAAAAGAAAUUCACAAACCACAGCUGGACUCAACAGCAAAAAAAAAAAAACUAAAAAAAAAAACUCUCUUACUGUGGAAUUAUUAAGUAAUAUCCAAUAUUGUGGCUUUAAUAGACAUUAACUCAGAAUGGAUCCUCCAUUCAUAGUUUUCAUGUGAUAUCACAUCCCAGGCUUAUCUGCUUAAUCACUGUUUUAAUGCAUUAAGGCACUUUAAGUGUUUCUCUUUAUUGUUUUGAGAGGUGAUUUAAUAUUAGUUGAUUGGAAGCAGAUAAAAAUUUAUAAGCUUGUGUUGCAGUUCUAUGGAUGUUUUGCCCUCCAGAUCUUCAGGCCAGUCACGUGACUGAAAACCAUGAAUCUGUA